GGGGGCGGCCAUAUUGGAAGAGGGCGGAAGCGUCCUCAGCCCGCCCACCCUGAGCAGCGCGCAGAGCUUGGAGGUAUGGAGUUCAGUGGCAUUAAUACAUAAUAACAUUGUUGUGCAAUCAUCAUCAUCAUUCAUCUGUGGAAAUUUUUCACCUUCUCAAACUGAAACCCUGUACCCAUUAACCCAUAUCUCCCCAUGCCCCUUCCCCCAGCCCCUGAACCACCAUCUUACUGUCUCUGUGUGCUUUAUUAAAUAGCUGAUAGAGGUGGAAUCAAACAAUAUUUGUCCCUUUGUGUCUAGCUUAUUCAAUCAGAGUUUUACUUGUUUGCUUACUUGUAAUGGUCUGUCUCACUGGCUAAAGACCAAAUGCAGUGAGUAAGGAGUGUCCUGUUCCAGUUGACCAGCAAAUUCCAAUGCCCAGUCAGUGCCUGUCAGGCAGUAGGCAUUCAAUAACAAUUUCUUGAAUGAAUGAAUGAAUGAAUGAACAAAUGAAUGAAUGAAAAAUAAACUGCUCAGAUAUUAAAUACUUAAAUACUUAAGCGAAUUAUAGCAAAUGUCAAUAACAGCUUUAGCCACUUAGGAUAAACAUUAUCCUGGUGAUGCAACAUUACGUGAACUGGUAAUAAUCGUGAUACUUAAAGACUGUUUUGCAUGAACAGGUCCUGGAAGAACAGAGAGACAAAUGAGAACAGCAGUGGUGCUGGAGACAUGCGCUCUUGGUUGAAAUUUUUCUCUCAGUUUUGGCAAACUCUUUCAACCUGGAGGCUCUUCCUACCCUUGGACCCAGUAACCCAUCUCAUUUCUGGAGGUUUCUGCUAAGAAUCAGAAAGUCAGACUAAGAUUUCCGUGGUAAUCUGAUAUCAGUGAGAAUUCUCACUGUCCCAGGGGCUGUACUAAUUUUGCAUAUGUUGUGUCAUUUAAUGUUUACCACAGCUGUGGGGUAAGUCCUCUUUUUCCCACAUUUUACAGAUGGGGAAGGAAAUUGCUACUCAGAGAAAAGAAAUCACUUACCCAAAGACAGCAUUCAAACUCAGGGUGGUCUGACACUAGCACCCCUCUCCCAACACCCACACUAACCCCUACACCAUGCCUUUGUUCACAAAAAUAAGCCACGUGUAUUUAAACAUGGUCCAUAUCCAUGUAUAUGUAUGUAUAACUAAAAAGAUAUAUGCACUAAGCCUCAGCUUAUGUGGAUUACAAGAAAAUUACAUGCAGAGAAAAAACACUGGAUUCAAAUAUACCAGACUAUUAAUAGUGGAUGCUCUGGGUGAUGGAGUUGAGGGUGGCAACUUUCCUCCUUAUUCUUUUCUAUGUUUUCCCAGUUUUCUACGAUGACUGUGCAUUGUUUUCAUAACUGGAAAACACAAUUUUCUAAUAAAAAUGUGUCUUGAUUGCUGUUCUAUAA